rnacentral:lncRNA from 1 species
CUAAAAAAAAACAGCCGAGAAAAGGAAACUAAAACUACAGAAGCCUUUCCAUCUUAAUCCACAGCAGCUGGAGGGCAUGGAAGACCAUCAUUUCGGGGCACAAGGGUGAGGGACGGUGGUGGCUUGCUGGCCCAUCUGUUAAGACCCACCGACCGAUGUCCAAGCAAGGUUGCCGUAUGGGCUGCCUAAUUUGCUUCACGGGGAAUCCAUUCCCAAGAGACAUGAUCAAAGAACUUGCUUCUCCACUUGAAUUUGAAUCUUUCUCAGAUUGAGAUCGGUGGCUAAAUUGAUCCCUAGAAGGAUUGCCUUGGCUUCUGCAGCUUCUACGAAACAGUUCUGGGAAAAUGCAGCUGCUCCUCCAAUAACACCGCAACUGUGGUCGCGCAACAAAACACCAAUGCCACCGGAGAUUGAGCUUACCCAUGCUGCAUCGCAAUUGAUGGCAAUGGUACCUGGAGAGGGGGGUCUCUGUCGGGCUUGGUUCAGCUGCCGUCAUAUACUCAAGAGUUGAUUCCAUCCCAAUCUUAAGAAUCCGGGAAAGAGAGAUCAUAUUGUGUUGGUAGACAAAGCUACACCUAGCCUUCCAUAUUGCCCAAGCUAGAAAGCUGAUCCAGUGCCGUGAGGAAGGCAAGGUCAGGAAGGUGUUGAAAGUGGAACCUCUUCCAGAUGGAUCUGGCCGUUUCUUUAACCUCAGUCCAUGAGAAGGCCCAGCAAGCAUUCAUUCUUACCCACUCCAAGCUUUCAAAACCCAUAGAGAAUUGAAAAGUUGUUGGAUAUUUUUUUCUUUUUCUAUUUUCAAUUCAAUUUUUUAUUUAUUCUCGUGUGGAUAACUGUACUCCUAACGUUAAGUUAUUCCCUUGAAAAAUAUCGAUUAUUUUUCAAAGGAGAAAUAUCAAUUAUAUUACCUAAAAAGAUGGAUAUUGGUGUCUCAUGGUUCAACCAUGAAUAGAGAAUGAGCAUGUAUGCAUCCAUGAAGUUUCUGUGGAAAAUAUAUAUUAUGAUGUGUUGUAGGAAAUAGUUGGUGCUUACUUAACAAGUUGAUAUU